rnacentral:rRNA from 1 species
ACGAACGCUGGCGGCGUGCCUAAUACAUGCAAGUUGAGCGCCGAAGGUUGGUACUUGUACCAACUGGAUGAGCAGCGAACGGGUGAGUAACGCGUGGGGAAUCUGCCUUUGAGCGGGGGACAACAUUUGGAAACGAAUGCUAAUACCGCAUAAAAACUUUAAACACAAGUUUUAAGUUUGAAAGAUGCAAUUGCAUCACUCAAAGAUGAUCCCGCGUUGUAUUAGCUAGUUGGUGAGGUAAAGGCUCACCAAGGCGAUGAUACAUAGCCGACCUGAGAGGGUGAUCGGCCACAUUGGGACUGAGACACGGCCCAAACUCCUACGGGAGGCAGCAGGAGGGAAUCUUCGGCAAUGGACGAAAGUCUGACCGAGCAACGCCGCGUGAGUGAAGAAGGUUUUCGGAUCGUAAAACUCUGUUGGUAGAGAAGAACGUUGGUGAGAGUGGAAAGCUCAUCAAGUGACGGUAACUACCCAGAAAGGGACGGCUAACUACGUG